AUGAGGACCGCGACGACGCCUUCAAGAAAGGAACGAACUCGCCGCCGCCGGCCUGCCGGAAGACAGAACAGGUUUUCACCCCGGCCAACACACACCGCCCCUGGCAAGGUACGAACGCCGCACCACCGCCACCGAUCGACGCACCCCAGCCACCAUGCCGCCCACACGGCCAUGGCCACCGGGCAGCACCUGAGCCACGGGCUCCGCCCACGAGCACCGUGCUCCCACCUCCAAAGCCGCCGCUCCGGAAUCCAAGACCACCCCAACCCCUUCAACCAGAGCCACCGACACAGCAGUCGAAAAAAGCACACCCUUUUGGGAAAGAACGGGGCCCAGCCGGCCGGAGCAGGGCAGGGGAAGCCAUCGGAGGCUGCCAGCCGCGCCGCAGCCACCACGCCAUUUCAUGACCCGGGGCCAGGUCUCCGUCGCCACUCCCGGCAACAGCAAGACCCGAAGGCACCCCUGCCAACUCCCCGAAGCGCCCCUGCCACCAUGGCCAGCCACAGACGAAGUCGAGCCGCCGUGCUCCACCUGCCGAGCGCACCUCCAUCCGCAGCUCCGAGCACCCCAAGAAUCAGGGGAAGGUAG
rnacentral:rRNA from 1 species